CCUACGGGCGGCUGCAGUGGGGAAUAUUGGACAAUGGGCGAAAGCCUGAUCCAGCAAUGCCGCGUGAGUGAUGAAGGCCCUAGGGUUGUAAAGCUCUUUUACCCGGGAUGAUAAUGACAGUACCGGGAGAAUAAGCUCCGGCUAACUCCGUGCCAGCAGCCGCGGUAAUACGGAGGGAGCUAGCGUUGUUCGGAAUUACUGGGCGUAAAGCGCGCGUAGGCGGUCCAUCAAGUCAGAGGUGAAAGCCCGGGGCUCAACCCCGGAACUGCCUUUGAAACUGGCGGACUAGAAUCUUGGAGAGGCGAGUGGAAUUCCGAGUGUAGAGGUGAAAUUCGUAGAUAUUCGGAAGAACACCAGUGGCGAAGGCGACUCGCUGGACAAGUAUUGACGCUGAGGUGCGAAAGCGUGGGGAGCAAACAGGAUUAGAUACCCCUGUAGUC
rnacentral:rRNA from 1 species